CCCUGAAGUCUGAAAUGGCUUCCUCUCUGACACCCUCCCCACGCAGACAUGAAAGAUAACACGUUUGUAAAAACCCAUCAUCGCGCACCAGUUUGAUCACUGCUCUCAGCGAUCCAUUUGCUUUCAGAUAAACACCACAAACUGCUACAGAAGAUUUCACUGCUGGGGACCAAAAUUCACAGAUUAGAAGUGAAAGUGGAAGUUAACGGACUGUGUGGAAAUAGCACAACUUUACCAUUAACUCAAAACAAUGGACAGGGGCAAGCCAACACACCGCUAAGAAGUAUGCACAUGUCUACCAACAAACAGAUCGGUUCUGUGAUGUGUUUAAAUCUGCGAGUGUUAGUCCUCCCUGGAACUAUCAUGGCGCAAAGCUGAAAAGUAAAUCAUAUCCCUGGGAGAAUGAGGAAGAAUAACAGGCAGGGCACAGCCCACCGAUAUGUGAUGAGACCAGCUGGCCUGCGCUACCUCCCAGGCAGAACGCCUCUUCAACCCCGGUAUUCGGUAGUACACAGCCAUGGACAGCUGCGAAAAGGGAGGAUUAGCAACAAACCUCCUGAACAACCAAGUGAGAAACAGCAGAACCAAUUUGGUCCACUGUUGCAGGAUCCAGGAUCUCCAGCUAACCAAAAUGUCAAAUAUUAAAAGGCUAAGCUACUCUGAUUGUGGGUUACAUUGGCGUACAAAGGAUGUGCAGUAAAAACACCAUUCUGUUUUCCCAAGGAUAUGGUCUCUGACUUGACAGAAAAAUGAACAUUGUUGCCGAACACCAGACUGGGAAGAAUAUCAUACUGCAUGUUGGGUCAAUUUGAUAAACAACAACAGGUUAAAAAGAGUCAGCUCUCUGGAUGCUGACGUGUUUAUCAGCGGGCCCUGACCGACCGGUCAGAAAAGCAGCUCAGAGAUUCAGCAGGUUGUGAGCACUGCAUAAGUGGCUUUCAACUGCAUGUGAUGCUCAGUGCAGUUUAUUUACAGUUUCAGCAUUUUCUGGGAGCGUAGACAUCUUUUUUUUUAAAGCAGGCGGUCUGAGCUUAAACAAGUCUGGAGUGAAAUAGUUCACCUCCAACCUAUUUACUUCAUGCGUCACCAAACAGUUUCCUCUGCCAAGGACAAGAGACAACACACAUCAGCACAGAGGGAAAACAUAACACAGCUUGAUUGAAACCUUCAGGAAGUACAAUGUCUGCCUCUGCCCGAGGUGUUAUGAACAAGAGAGCCAAGAAGAGGGGUCUCCACCUGCCUCUAAACACCUGAACAACACCAGCACCGGUGAAACCCUCACCCGCUCAAACCCCAGCCAGGUCAGCCUCCUCCCCCCACUUGGAGUUCACCGACCAGAUGAAGGAGCUGGUCAACACUGGACUUAAAUGUAACCCCACCCUUCUUCAAUUUUCUCUCCUGUAAACCCCCCCCCCAUGAGGACCCCCUCCACCAGAGGCGUCUGGUGGACACAAUCGUCUAAGCCACAAUGCCCAGCCACGGCACCCAGCCCCUCCUGUCCCUCCCUAAUUCCAUAAGGCUCUUGACGAUGACGAUGAUCAGGGCUGCUUGUGUUCAGAAUUUACCAACCUCAAACUGAAAUGUUGUGGGUCCAGGCUGCAAGGAAACAUGACAGUCAUGAAUCGUUCCAGGAUAAGCCAUGGCCCUGCAUGUCAGUAGCUUUCUACAUUUCUGUCCCAAUUUUAGAAAAAGAAAAAGGACUGCUGAGAAACAGGAGGAACUUAAGUAAUUCUGUAAACGUAUUGUUAGUGUCAAUUCUUUGUGAGCCACAGCCUGUCCCCAAAUAAUGGGAAGAGACUCCAAAGUAGCUGGCCUUAUUAUCUUUUUUACAAACAUUUUUAAUCAGGGAUUUGAUCACUGAAUACAAACUUGAUGCUAUGUUCUUAACUGAACCUUGGUUGGAUGAUAAUACCAGUGCAGCUGUUCUUAUCGAGUCCACCCCUCCCAACUUGAUUUUUAUCAGCAAGGCAAGAGUGCACAGGAGAGGAGGUGGAGUUGCAGUUUUGUUUAACAAGUCUUUCAAAUGCAAACAAGUGACUUUUGUAAAUUUAGCAUCUUAUGAAUAUGUUACUCUUCAGCUGAGGUCCUCCUCGUGAGCCAUGUUCCCAAAUAUUUACAGGCCACGUAGGUACAGUGUGAACUUUUUUGACGACCAUCAUCAGUAUUGAUUUUGAUGAUGUAAUUAUUCUGGUGAUUUUAACAUCCAUGUGGACAUCCCUCAGGACAAAGGGAGUAAAGAACUGUGUUUUACUCUUGACAACUUUGGGCUGACUCAGCAUGUGACAGAGCCAAUGCACAAUAAGGGCCACACUGUGGACUUACUUAUCUCCAAUGGGGUUAACAUUUCCAAGGUUGUUGUGACUGAAGUUGCCUUUGCUAAGCAUUCCUGUGUUUUGUUUGAGAGCAAUAUCUCAGUGCACGCAAUGCAUUCAAAUAGAAACAAUUCAAUUAUUACUAUUCACACACAUUUGUUUAUACCUUACAUUUUAUUAUUAUCUUUAUGUAUCUAUCUUUAUUUUUACUCAUUUAAACGUAUUCUUGAUUUGUGCUUAUGUCUGUGUUGCUGCAACAACCGAAUUUUCACCCGGGAUCAAUAAAGUAUUAUCUUAUCUCA